UACGAAGGGGGCUAGCGUUGCUCGGAAUCACUGGGCGUAAAGGGUGCGUAGGCGGGUCUUUAAGUCAGGGGGGAAAUCCUGGAGCUCAACUCCAGAACUGCCUUUGAUACUGAAGAUCUUGAGUUCUGGAGAGGUGAGUGGAACUGCGAGUGUAGAGGUGAAAUUCGUAGAUAUUCGCAAGAACACCAGUGGCGAAGGCGGCUCACUGGCCCGAUACUGACGCUGAGGCACGAAAGCGUGGGGAGCAAACAGG
rnacentral:rRNA from 1 species